GACCUCGGAUCAGGUAG
rnacentral:rRNA from 5 species